ensembl:lncRNA
GGGUUUUGAAAGAUGUUGCUGCAUUCUCUUCAAUAACAGAAAGGAAUGAGCCAUGACAUUUUUUUUUAAUGAAAAUGCUGAUCUGUUCUUUAUCUUCACAGAGCUAAAUGAAAAGUUUCAAAGACUGACUUGGUUGAAUACAUUUAUCGUUUAAGCUUGUGGAAUGCAGAGUUGUGAACAGUUUGAUAUCUUUCUUCAUGUUUAGUUUGAUUUUUUAAAAGCAGGGGAGAGCUCAUCCCACUUAGUAUUUCAUCUUUUCCUGGGUCUUCACUAAACUGUGUUAGAUGGUUUCAUAUGGCAGUGAAAGCUACUGUUGUUGUGUUAAAAUCAAGGGGGAUGUGAAUACCUCCGGUUGGAUUUGACACUGGUAUCUCCAGAGCUCUCUGAAUCCUUAUCUCCAUAAUCUCCUACGGAGCUUCAAGAUAUAAACUUCUUAUUUAGACAUCAUAUGCGUUAACUGAAGUAAAAGCAUCCUCGUCUGAGAAGAUAUAUGGCAUCUCAGCUGGCCAAUGUGCUCCCAUCUUUUUCUUCGGUUAUAUUUCCUCCAGACUGCUCCUGGACAUCAACUCUAGACAGUUUCUUGGAUAACAGGUAUUCCUAUACUGAGUAGAACUGUGAUUCUUCUGUGGAUGUUCUAUUCUAUACAUAUACCUAUGUCCAACUUUGUAUUUCCAGCUGUCUCUAACUAGCUUACCAUUGCUGACAGAUGGUUUUUUUUUUUUUCCUUAUUACCUCUCCCCUAUUUCCUCCUUUAUUUGGGGGAUAUAUACUUUAUUUUUCACCAUGUCUUUCAGUUAUGUCCAAAUAAAGUAAUUUCUCUGCUUUGCUUUUUCCCUUCCCUUCCCCUUUUUCUUUUCCUUGUUUUUUCCUCUUCACUUUGCUUCAGUUCAGUUGGAAACAUUUGUCAUCUUUCUUAAUAUGUUAUUUCUCAUUCUUCCAGCUCAUUUAGGGAAUUAUUAAAGAAUAGAAAUGAUCAACAUGAUCCCCUUGUUAUUGCAAAAGAUGUCAGCUUGGCAUACUGCUAGUCCUCAUUGUCUUUGGUUUACAUUCAAUUAGCCAGUCUUUGGAUCUGUCCAAUCCAAUUUAAAUUAACAUUUCAAUUACUCUUUCAUGAAAGAGAGUAAAUGCUUCAUUAAAUUACACGCCUUAUUAAAAUAGCCAUCAACAUCUGUAAAUAAGCUUUCUGACAUGAUAUUAUACAACAUAAAUGAUUUUUCACUAUCACAAAAAUACCUAAAGUACCUACCAUUUUAAGUAGGCUAGAAUUUAAAAUGUUAGGUUCUUAAUACUGUCUGUAUGAGGAGAUAAAAUGCUGUCUGUAUGAGGAGAUAAUAAACUGAUUCAAGAGCUGCAUAGUCUCAGAUUUCCUGAAAACAUUUCUGUGUGUUUUAGAGAAAUGGAGCACUUGAGUUUCUCUCAAAUCACAAAUGAUAGAGCACUGUGCUUGUUGCUGAAGAAGGACAGAACAAAAAGAUAUCUCUGUGCCCCUAGAUAUUAAAAUGAAAACAUACCACUAAUGGAGGGUGGAUCAGGGUUCACGGCAGCCUGAAAUUUUUUGCCACUUCCCACAAGGCAACUUCUGCUGUCACGUGCAAUGAUACAGUGCCCUUGUGAUGUUGAUGAGAUAGCAUGAGUGUUUCUGACAGCUAUGUACUGAACAGAAUGCGGGAAAUGAACCAUAAUUUAUAACUAGUCUUAUAUUCAAGUUCCCAUAGCAUAUGAUGAAUGGAUUCACUGCAAUUUGGACUCUUUUACUAGAUGUUUGUAAUUUUUGGAGUUCUCUCUUCUUCAAGCCACAAUCUAGUCAUUCCCUUAUGCAUGUGUAUUACUUUUAAGGAUGAAUUUCUGUACAUCUGCAUUCAGAAAAGUACUUACAAUUUGUCCCUAACUCUAAGAUGAGUAAUAACUGUGGAAAGCCAGCAAUCAAAUAAUGUUUCAUCUUACAGCAACCAGGAAUGAGCUUAAACAUCAUGUAACGCUUGUCAGCCUUCUUGGCUCUCAGUAAAGAAAACCAAAUAUUUUCCUUUUUCUAUUCCCUCACCACAUAUUUUAACUUGAACAUGCCUUUCCUUCUGUCCUUUUUGCCCACAAGACAGAACCUGGUAAAACAACUGUCAGUAGCUCUGUUCAGGGCAGAGCAAUGUCUCUGCUUCAGUAACUGCAGUGCAGACUUCAAAUUAUGACACAAAAAUGUUUUAGAACCAUAAGAUGAAAAAUAUCUAUUUUUUAUUGGCUGUUUACAUGGUUGCUAUACUUAAUAUUACACUAUAAUGUUUGCUUUCAGCCACUGUUCAGCUGUAUACAUAUAUUUUGACCUUGAUGACAGAAAAAAUUCUCAAAAAGCCUAGUCAUAAAUUAAUAUUGAAAAGGUGUUGGUGACUUUUUCUUUUUUUUUUUUAUUUCAAACUCUACAGCCACCUAUGCUGUAAAUAUAUUUGUUGGACAACCAUUUCAGCAGUGCUGCAAUGUGCAAGUACUUGCAAAUUUGAGACAGAAGUAAGAUGACAAGAGCUGCCAUGGAGAUUGUAAAAUAUUUAUUAAUACAAUAAUAGUACUUUCUCUUGGAUCAUAUUUAUAAUUUAAAUUGUAUACCACAAAGGUACCUUCGUCCUUUAAAGAAGAUCAGAAAAUUUCAGUUUAGAUACAUGCUGUAUAUUCCUAAAUAGCUUAAUUUACUUCGUAUGUAGGCAACAUAAUUUGAUCUUUAAAUUUAAAAAGACAUUUCUUCUUAUAUUCCCGAAUAAUGCAUUUGGGUAUAUUCACUUUUGUUGGUAGAAUAGUGUUCACAGACAGCUGAACUUCAAGUUUUUUAUAAAACUGGCCUUAGUUAUAGAAUUUGAAAAGAAUGGAGAGAAUAUAUCUUUCCAUAUUUGAAUCUUCAGAGAGUUUGAUACAAUUUUCAAGUGCCAGUGAAAAAAAAAAAAAAGCUCCUAAAUGAAAUGUAUGUUAGAGCCAUUUUGAAAGUCUGAAAUUUGUAGUUGCUGUUCUACAUCUACCACAGACUCACUAUGUAAUUUUGUGCAGGUGAUUUGGGGCUAGUUUCUUCCAUUCUUACCUGUGAAAUACCUUAAGGGGUGCUUAAUAUUUUUCAAUUUCUAUUCUUUACAAUUAGGUUUAUAAUUCUUAACAUUGGUCUGUACAUAGCAUUGAUGAUGAGAUUGGAGGAGACCAUGCAGCAACUGAACUCUCUCUGCUUUUGAUCUUUUAUUUGUCUUUCAAUACUGUACUGCUGAUGGGUAGAGGAGGUGAACAUAAUCUACUUUCAGACCUUCACAAAAUCUUCACUAUCCUACACUGUAAGCCUGUUCUGAAACUUUAUGUGUACAAAGACCUUGGAGAAAAAAAUAUCUGUAAAGGACUAGGCUUUCUUUGACUAAGCUAAAUUCUUAUUGCAGUGUGGACGUGCUAUGGCUCACUGUAGGCUCUUGUCAUUUGUCCAGGAUGUUAUGAUGUGGAAUACCAAUAGCAAAGUUACAAAACCAUGACAGCUCUCCACUGUAGCACAGCUCAGGCACAUUUAUAUGACAUAGAGAUGUGAAUUAUUGGCCUAUAGCAAGCCUGCAGAUAAAUGCAGAACCUCAGUUCCUUGUACCUGUGAUUUGAUCAAGUACUCAGUCUCUAUUAAGCAGCGGAAAUUGCUUUUAAGCUAUUUCUUGAAAUGGGGAAAUGAAAGAUGCUCAUAAACUGCUUCUAGGAAGAGCAGCACUAAGUUUGAGGUAGCAUGGAUGAGCCUACCAGACUGGUUUGAGUACAUCUGGAUUUGUUAUUUUUCGCGUUCUUUGUUAAUCAUGAUCUCGUUAUGAGUGACUUUGUCUUAAAUUUUAAUGCUCUAUCUGAACUGCAGAUGAGUUUCAGCUUGAAUGAGGAGGGGAUAGCAGCAGUAGAAUAAGCAUAGUUGUUUAUCUAUUUUUUUUUUUUGUCAAUUUCUCCUUCACUUUAAUGUUUUUCUUUUAAAAUGACCUGCUAGUUAGUAUGCAAGGACAUUUACUGUGUAUCAUGGCAUCAGCAAGACAGUUAUGAAAAACAGCUAGAUUAAAUUGUCAAUUUAGAGACCAGAUUGCAAUCAGAAUUUGAUUUUGUGUCACUUUUUUUUUUUUUUUUUUUUUUUUUUUUUUUAAGAACAGACUGGUGGUAACCUUCAGGAGUUGUAACAGCAGCAUGUGCUUGGAUCAAAAAAGAGACUUGAGCUCUGUUCUUAAAUAACAGGCAAGUUCAGCUCUUGUUUACACGCAUGAGACUUUUACUGACAAUGAUGAGCUUAGAGCUGUAUAUACUACUCACGCAGAAUACAUAAUCAAGAGUGGAAACUAAUAAUUCUGAGACACCAGCUUUUAAAAAGACAGGAUUUAGAUGUGUUUGUGAUUACGGUGAUAUUUUAAACAAUUCUCAUAAUAAAGUGCUCUGCAUGUGUGAGUACUGCUUACUGACUGAAAGGUAGAUCACAAACGUGUAUGUGGGAUCUCACACCUGGCAGAAAACCAUUUUGUUGUCUCCUAUCUGCAGCCCUGUUUGGGCAUGCUUCAUUAGCUCCACCUGUGCAGGAGAAGUAGAGGAAAGAGUCCUGAGACAAAUCUGGAUCUUGGGGUAAAGUCUGUAUUGAUCUGUAGGUUGUAAAACUCUUUCUCCUGUAGUCUGUGAAAAUUCAGAACAGAAGCAACAAUCAAAGGAAGAAAAGCUUAUUUUUACAAAAUAGGAUUUUAAAAUCUUUCAUUGUAAUCCUAGACGGGCUUUGUUCUGACUGACUGCUAGGAUCAGAUUUACGCCAACUUUGGGGGAGUCCCAGUGGGGCAAAAUUGUUGCUUAACCUGGUAGAUAGCUUCCAGUAAUGGAUAGUUUAUAUAAAAUGGGAAUGUUUGGAUCAUUAAAUCUUAACUUGGAUUUUUUUUGCUAAGGAGCCACGUCCAGGCUCCAUUAACAUUUCAUCUUAUAAGCUUCUGUAAUUAGUUUCCUGUGAAAUUCUUACUUUGCCAUAGUCCUUUCUUUGUCCUUUCAAAACAAAAUUGUUAAAGAAUUUAAACAAUGGACUAUAGAUAAUUUGUUUGAAAUCAAGGAACAGCUUUACACCUUCAUGUCCAAGAGAGGCAAAAGACCUGAAAUACUGCAGGACAUAGAUGUGCCACCUGUUCCUCGGUGUCCUCUAUACUCAAGGAAUUGUGUACAAGAAUCUUGGUGUGACUGUCUAAAGGCAAAUAAACAAGAUUUAACAUGCAUUGUGACUUUAGAAAUUGGAAUAAUGAUAAAAACUUUCAGAAAACUAACAUGAACUUUAUUUAGUAGUAAUGUUAUUUUUUAGCUUCUGGGAACAGCGUUUCUUUUUGUCAUGUAAUCUGGAAUAUUUCAACCAUGUAAUCCUAUGUGGCAGAUAAAUACAUUUCAUAUAUAUAUAUAUUUUCACCUUAAAAAUAUUUAAUAAAACAUUCUUUUAUUUGCUGACUGAUCCGAUUUGUUCCUCAUCUGCUCUUUAUGUUCAUAGUUUAGACUUCAGCAGUUUUUUUAUCUAGAAAGGAUAUUUGAACUAUACU